GUUCUGCUGAAUUACUGUCUGUACUCCACCAUCUUAUGAGUAGAAUUUCUCCUAUCUUUGAUAUGCACAUCAUUUCUUAAAAUGCAGUUAUAUUCCCUUAUCUUCAUGUACCAUGAUUUGUUUAACUAUAUCAUUUGAUGGGCAUGUACUUUAUUUCCAAUUCUCAGCUAAAAUAAAAAGUGCUGCUAUAAAUAUUUUGGAGUCUAUGGGGAUUUUAGUAAUGGAGUCUCUAGUUCAAAAGCAAUUCUUCAAGACUGUAGCACAGUUGAGAAACUGAUAAACAGAUCCCACAGUUCACUUACUGGAUUGAGGAUGAGUCCAUUUGAUGCCAGUGGAGACCUGCAGAUUUUCUAGAAUGGCCAUCUGGUGUUGGGCAAGUUGAAGGUUGAUGCACAUGACCCCACACAGACAUAGCCAUUUCUGAACUCUGUAUCCCCAAACUGAUUUGGAUAUGGGAGAGAAUGUGGGGCUACUCCUCUCCUUCCAGAACUGCACUACAGAGAUACCACACCUGUUCCAGAGCCUUGGGAAGCAGUGACCAUUAGCACUAACAAUUUCCCCGCUGGUCUAACUUAAGUACUUGUUUUUCUUAGCUUUCUUGGAGGAUUGUUUUGAAGAAUGGCUGGAUUGAUUUCUGGAAGGAGAAUGAAAGCUAGGGAGAGUUUAAUGUGACAAAGAGACAAGAUUGCUUUCUUCAGUUUUGCUGGGCUCAGAUGCACUGAUUGAAAACGUUUAUGCUUUCUUUAUUCUUCGGGAGCCUGGUUGACUCAGAGAACACCCUAUUUUUCAUUUGUUCUGAUUUUUUAGGUCUCACAGUUUAUUUAUUGAUAUAACAUUGGUUAGUCAACAAUAAAUUUAAGA